rnacentral:misc_RNA from 1 species
UACGAAGGGGGCUAGCGUUAUUCGGAAUCACUGGGCUUAAAGAGUCCGUAGGCGGCUCGGCAGGUGAGGUGUGAAAUCCCACGGCUCAACCGUGGAAUUGCGCUUCAAACCGUCGAGCUCGAGGGAGAUAGAGGAGAGCGGAACUGAUGGUGGAGCGGUGAAAUGCGUUGAUAUCAUCAGGAACACCGGUGGCGAAAGCGGCUCUCUGGGUCUCUUCUGACGCUGAGGGACGAAAGCUAGGGGAGCGAACGGG